rnacentral:lncRNA from 1 species
UUCUUCAUUCUUAAAACCUUUGAACCUUCAAACUCACAUUUAUAUCUUAGAAACUCCUCACAAAUACAAAAUAGUACCAUAAUGGGCAGAAUAGAUUCUCAUGGUUAAAGUUUAAAAGGGAGAGAUAAUUGAGAACAAGUGUACCUAAUGGCCGUUUGCACAUGUAUAUAAGAAAAAAUAAUGAAAUGGACCUGAGAAGGUGGACUGAAGGAGACAUACAUGUGUAUGAGAGAUAGGAAAGUAUGCUGUCGUGAAUUAGGAUGAAAUGGUGGAGGGAGAGUAACAAAUGUAAAAUGAGAGUUUCUGGUUGAACUUUAUCUUAGUUUCUAAAUAUAUAUUCCUAAUUUUCUUGUUGGAUGUGCAUUGUGGAUGCCUGCUGCUAGUGUUGGAAAAUGUGAUUCAAUGUCUAUUGGUAAAUGUCAAAUGAUAAUGUGAAUUUGUUCUCUUUCUGUCUGCAGCAUACUUCAUUGAGCCCUGAUGGGAAACUAGUUGUUAUUGUUGGAGACUACCCAGAAGGGUUACUGGUGGAUUCUCAAACAGGAAAGGUUGGCAUGUUCUGUUUGUCUAUAUCAUAGGUUCCUGGCUGUAUAUUUCUCUUAGGACUCUCUUGAAUGGGAUGAGGGUGGGGGGUGGAUGUGCCAAGUGUGAGAAGUUGUGAAUGUCUAAUUUUAAUUUUGAUUGUCUUUGUAGACUAUCACACCUUUUCGUGGACACUUGGAUUUCUCAUUUGCAUCUGCAUGGCAUCCUGAUGGCCACAUAUUUGCUACUGGGAACCAAGACAAAACAUGUCGUGUUUGGGAUGUUCGGAACUUGUCAAAAUCCGUUGCUGUUCUUAAAGGCAAUCUUGGAGCUAUACGCUCAAUACGUUUCACAUCUGAUGGACACAGUUCAUGGCGAUGGCCGAGCCAGCUGACUUUGUGCAUGUGUACGACGCAAAGCAUGGAUUUGAGAAGGAGCAAGAGAUUGAUUUUUUUGCAGAAUCACUCUUUAUUGGUGUUUGGGACCGCACCUACAGAAGCCUUCUACAGCUCAAUCGAUGCAGAGAAGUAGUCGAAAUGGAUGAUUGUUGUAAUGGUGAUGGUAGCAGAGUUCAUUGUGGUUUGUAAUGUUGUCAGAUUUAAAGUUAAGAUUGUGUCCAUAAAUGUUUGAAGUGUAACCAUAUAAAUCUUGAAAUUUAUUUGAAAAUUCAACCAUCAGCCUACUUGUGUUUUGUGUUUAUAUAUAUAUAUAUAUAUAUAUAUAUAUAUAUAUAAAUUAAAAUAUAUUUUAAUACAUGUAUGUGUUUUAUUUUAUAGUUAAUUAGUAUAUAUGAUGUUAUAAUUUGGGAUAUGAAUUUGUGAGUUAUUAGUAUAUAUGAAAUUAUAAUAUUUAUUUGGUGAUUAUCUAAAAUAAUGUUUUGUAAUCAUGAAUUGGUCAUUAUCCUAUUGAAAGUGGUUGAAAAUUGAAUAUGCAUGAGAUAUAUAAUCUGAAUUGUGGAAGAGAUAUGAGAUAUCUCGAUAUAGGGAUAAGAUUAUAUAUAUACCCUUCAUAUGGAAUAGGAAGAAAUUUUGGAUAUUCAUAAAUACCUCUAUUUGGAAUAGACAGAGAUUUUGAUCUAUGAUAAGAAAGAUAGCGGGACACCAUUAAAUGGAUAUGAGUUGAUAGACCUUUUGAAAAAUCUAAAAUUCACACCGAUUUUGGGAAUUAAAGAGUUGAAUCUAGUGAUUAUGAAAAUCACUGAGCUAUAUUUGUGAUAGUUGUAUUGUUCGAGAAUAGAAUGGAGUGAAGUGUUGAUAUUUAUUUACUAGAAUGUUCUAUUGUUGUUGAAUAAAUUUGUGAUUGUUUUAUAAGUAUAUGUGUACUUAAUUUAAUUUUAUCGAUACCAUGGUUGGAUUUUUUGAUUCCUGUGUUAUCUAAGAAUAACAUUAUUUGCACACUCUUUUAAAAUUUGUUUUGUUUUUCGAGUCGAUGAAAGAAAUUUUUUUUGAAACGGAAUGAAAUUAAAAUCCAAUUUAUUGUUAGCUCAAUUCUGUAGAAGUCUGUACUUUGAGAAUAAAAUUGUUUAUUUAUAAUAUUUAAAGUAUUUCAAACUAUUGAAAUUUAAAGUAUAUUUUUAUCAUGAGUUAUUAUUGUAAUUAAAGACGUUAUACAUCCCAAGUAAAAAAAAGUUUUCCUAAAGUUCGGUGAAAGAAAAUUAUUGGAAAUUAAGAGGUUCUAUUAGCUAUGUUCAAGCCUCCUAUUUUUUAAAUUAUAUUAUUGAUAUAAGUAUCCAUUAAUUUUGUCAAUAAUUAAUUUUGAUUUUAAAACUUAACUAAUCAUCCUUUAGUGUAUUUUAUUCUUCCAAAUAUAUUUUUUAUUUAUAAGCAUAAAUUUCGAAUAUAAAACCUUACUUAAAAAAGGAGUUGAGCUAAAAAAAAAAAACCAACUUGUUGGUGCCUCUGGGAUAAGAAUAGCAGCAAUUUAUUACUAUUAUUUUAUUCUUAAAUAUAGUACUUGUAACUUGUAAGAAGAAGAAAAAAAGGAAAAAAGAAAAAAUCUUACGCCCUAAUCUGUGUCCGAUUUUAUCAAUCACAGACUCAAAGGUGUGCAGUUAUUAUUAUUAUUAUCUACAUAUUUUUGCAAAGCUGCUUCAUCUGUAUUAUUACGCAGAUCAGAUUCAGGUCCUUAUCACCAAGAUCCAACAACUUCUCAACCACAACGAGUUGCUAUUUCCUUCGAUUCACGAACCCAGAAAAUUAAAGAAUUAAAAAAGGUCAGAUUUUUUUAACCCUUUAAGCCAAUUUAAUUAUUCCUGCCAUGAAUUGCAAUUUCUUCACCCCGUUUGAUUUUAUUAAUUCAAUUAUCCUUUUUACUCCCUUAAAGGUUUAUUUUAAUUUUAAUUUUGUUUGUAUAUAUUUGCUGGAGUUCGUCUCCGGUUAGCUACGUUUAAUUUAUUGUUUUUGCUUUUCGAAUUUUCUUCUUCUUCUGAGACCAUAUUAUACCAUUGUUUUGAUUUCUGAAACUACUGAAAAAAGAUAUAUAUAUAUUUUUUUCCGUUAUGCAAGUACAUAUUCCAAUUCAAUUUUUUUUUUUUGCUAUUGCAUGUUCCAAUUCAUUUCAUGGGGUAAUUGAAAAUUCCCCCAAAUUAAUGUUAUGCUGCUAUCAAGCUUUGCUUAUUUUCGCUUAGCUUGUCAAUUUAGGUAUAAAUGGGAUUUUUUUUUUUAAAAAAAGUAUUUGGUUUUAGGGUUUGUUUAAAGUUUUUGCUGCUAAAUAUCUCCAAAUGGUGUUCUUUGCCCUGUACAAUUGAAACAAUAGUAUCUGCAGUUUCUAGUGCAUGAAGAAUUUGGUGUGUUUGGAUGUUGUAAUUUUUUUAUAUAAAAUUUAAACUUAGUACCUGCGGUGUGUAGGUCAUAGAAUUUGAUGUUUAUUUUCUUGCACUCAGUUAUUAUCUUCUACUCAUUUUAGCAUACUGCCUUUAUGAACUAGAUAUCGAGUAUCAAAAACGGCAUCUGGAAAACAUGUCUCAAUACCAUGGUGAUGAAAUGGAGUAUGCGGCAGACGAUAAUGAAAUGGCAGAGGUAGAAGAGGAUAUGUAUUUCCGUGGCAGAGCAUUUGGUGAAUCAGAUUCAGAUGAUGACGACGACUACGAAUAUGACCCUUUGGUUUGUUUUGACUCAUAAGCAAAACCUUGUUUGCUCAUUUUAACUGUGAAAAUUCAAUGUUGUGUGUGGGCUCAUGUGUCCAUGUAUUAUUUGCAUAUGUAGUUGCUGCCUUCUGGUUUUAUGGGCAACUUUAGCUUACAUGAUUAAUUUUACUACAACGUUGCCAUUAACAUAAUAUUUCCAUUUUCUUGCACUUUUCUUGGGAUGGCUUUGGGUUCCCUGUUGCAGGAAAACCGAAUAUCAGAUACCACUGCUGCUGAAGCUAGGAGGGGGAAGGAUAUCCAAGGUAUACCUUGGGAUAGGUUGAGCAUUAGUCGUGAGAAAUAUAGACAAACUAGACUAGACCAGUACAAGAAUUAUGAAAACAUACCACAAUCAGGGGAAAUGUCAGAGAAGGUAAAUAUGUUUUGCUUAGAGUUUGGAUGCAUUUGAUUAGUGAUUUUGAAAAUAUUGUGUACCUUAUACUUUUUCUUCUUCUCUUGUCUACAGGAAUGCAAAGCAACAGAUAAAGGGGGGAAAUAUUAUGAUUUCUGGCAAAACACUAGAUCUGUGAAGUCAACAAUACUUCAUUUCCAAGUAUGUUGAUUUAAUAAUUCUUUACUUCUAAUCAUGUGUGGACGUGAUAAUAUCUGUUUCGUCUACACUCCAUGUUAUCUUGUCUCUUGUGGAAUGACAUGUGCCUCCAUGUACACCUGUGUGAUAGCUGACAGUUUGUUUUGCCAUAUGGGAUAUAUGUUUAUGUUAGAUUAAGCAGUUGUUUAGUAACAUUUAUGUGAAACCUCUAAAUUUUUCAUUUGCAGUUGAGGAAUUUGGUUUGGUCAACAUCAAAACAUGAUGUAUAUCUUGUUUCAAAUUACUCCAUUGUUCACUGGUCUUCAUUAACUUCCAAGAGAUCUGAAGUCUUGAAUGUAUCAGGGCAUGUAGCUCCAUGUGAGGUAAUUAUUUUUUCAUGGUUAUUCUGUUGAAAGCAUCACUUGGGGAAAAAAACCUGAGAUUUCAAAUAUGUGUUUAUAGAAACAUCCUGGAAGCCUCUUGGAAGGUUUUACUCAGACACAAAUUAGUACACUGGCUGUACGAGAUAACUUGUUGAUUGCUGGAGGGUUUCAAGGAGAACUUAUUUGCAAGGUAUUUUUUUGUACCUAUAAUUAGUAUUUUAUACAUAUCAUUAUUCAUCAGAUUCACUAAACCUACAACUCUUCUAGUUUUCUAUUUAACAUAGCCCUUUAGAAUAUCAUGCAUUAUUUUUUUUUUGGCUUUUGUUGCACAAAUUGGUGUAUGGUUUUAAUACUCUAACUUAUUAUACAGUAUAGAUGUUAACCUCGUUCUUGAGAUGAUGUUGAUUGCUUUAACAAAAUAGGAAUAAUCUGAAGUCAUCCUCAAUUUUUCUGCCUUGAUCUUGUAUAUUGAUGUGUUUGUCAAUAUUUUCAUGUUGCUUGAUGACACAUUCGUAAUGUCCUGCAGUACUUAGACAGGCCAGGGGUUAGUUUUUGUACCCGAACUACGUAUGAGGACAAUGCAAUCACAAAUGCUGUGGAGAUUUAUGAGCACCCAAGGUCCUUCUUCUUUUCUUUCUUAUUAUCCUUUUCCUUGAUUUUUUUGGUUUGCAAGUUGUUUGAGCAAUCACUGUGCUCAACCCUCAAAUAGGGCUUCUUACUAAUGAUUGAUAAAUCUAUCAGUGGAGCUGUUCAUUUCAUGGCUUCAAACAAUGACUCUGGAGUUAGAGACUUUGAUAUGGAGAGAUUUCAGCUUUCGAAGCAUUUCUGCUUUCCUUGGCCAGUAAAUGUAAGUACUUCCACUUUGAUUUUCCAUGUUUUAAAUAAUAGAUAUGACAUUUUUAUUAUUAUUGUUUUGAUGGGUAUAUAUAUAUAUAUAUUGCUUUAUCUAGGCCUGGAAUUUUGACAAAUUAUGAAUUGGCAUGACUUUGUGGAAAAAAAAAGAGGCUCGGUUGUUGUUAUGACUUUGCUAGUUUGCACUACUUUAUUAAUUAUUAGGAUACAAGAGAAUGGGAAGAAGGAUAGAAUGGUAAAAACAGAAUUAUGUUUUAUAAAUGGCAAAUGCUUGAUUACAAUUUGAUUUGAAUUAUGCCUAAGUUGAUACAUUUUUUCCCUCUAUUCUUUUCCUUUUUUAUUGCUUUGUAAAGUUCUAGUCUAGCUUUUUAACUGUAGCAUUAUAGUUGUUGGGCUCUGUUGAACUGUUUGGUAAUUGUAAGCUGCCUUUAAUAUUUCCCCCCCUAAAAGAACAGCUUUAAUAAUUUUAUUUGUGAAACAGAAAUAUCAUCUUGCUGUUCCUUGAAAUCUAGUUUCUUUGAAGAAUUUACAGAAAUUCAGUUUUUGAAACCUUGAUUAGUGUUCUGAUUUCACACUGUUUUUUAUGGUUGCUUGGCCAAGUGCUUUAGAAUAUAAUUUUGGUACCAUUUGACCAUCUUUUAGCCUGAAUUUUUACAGUUUGCUUGUAAAAUAAAUUUAUUCUAUAUGUACUUGAAUGCUGAAAGUUGAAUAUCCUUUUCUGGCCAAUUGGGGUUGAAGUGGGUGUUCUUAUGUUUAAACUCUGGUGUUUUUUUUUUUUUAAGAAAGACAUGCAGAGCAGCAUGCCCAAGUAUAAUUCAGUUUAAAACUUGGUGUUAAGACUUAGAAGUAUUAUUAUCUGGAUGGGCCACCUAAAACUAUAUAUGUACUAACCAUAGAAAGGACAAUCCCUCAUUUGGUGUCAAUUUUCUUCAUUCUUAAAACCUUUGAACCUUCAAACUCACAUCUAUAUCUUAGAAACUCCUCACAAAUACAAAAUAGUACCAUAAUGGGCAGAAUAGAUUCUCAUGGUUAAAGUUUAAAAGGGAGAGAUAAUUAAGAACAAGUGUACCUAAUGGCCGUUUGCACAUGUAUAUAAGAAAAUAUAAUGAAAUGGACCUGAGAAGGUGGACUGAAGGAGACAUACAUGUGUAUGAGAGAUAGGAAAGUAUGCUGUCGUGAAUUAGGAUGAAAUGGUGGAGGGAGAGUAACAAAUGUAAAUGUGGCAGCAGGGUAUUGGAUGCAAUGAUGAGAGUAAAGAAAAUGUGAAUAAGGAGGGGGGAUUUUGCAAUGUGGUUUAGUGGCCCAGGCCAAGGACGGAAGAGUGUGUGAAUUCAGCUCGUUCUCUAUUCUGCCCACUUUCUAUGUUACUUGCUGAUUUUUUUUAUUUUUAUUUUUUUGUGAAUGUGGCUGAAUUUCUUCUUUUGUAAAUGAGUGUUUCUGGUUGAACUUUAUCUUAGUUUCUAAAUAUAUAUUCCUAAUUUUCUUGUUGGAUGUGCAUUGUGGAUGCCUGCUGCUAGUGUUGGAAAAUG